rnacentral:lncRNA from 10 species
UGGGACCACAGAUUCACCAGCUGAUUGCAGAAAGCCCUUGUUUUUUGAGUUAUCCAUGCCCCGUGGACUUGAACAAGAAGACUCCAAGUAAGAUACAAUCCAGGAAGGGUACUACAGGCUGCAUUUUACUCCUGGGGGAUUCGACCAGCUCUGUCUUCUCCCACCGUUGGCUUCGUCUUCCAGCUGGUGGCAAUAUGGCUGCCGUGGUUCCAGGGCCACUCUAGAUGCACCAAUGUUCCAAAAAAGGAGAGAGAACAUCAACUUCUGUGUGUCUUUUAGGAGAAGGAAACCUUUUCCAGAGGCUUGCCAGCUGACUUCCCCCAAAGAGACCAGAAUUGCCCUUUCCUAAGUCAACCACUGAAUAAAGGAAUAGAAUUCUCAAGGUUGACUUUGGCUAACUAGUAUCCAUCCUGGAUCAAAUUGAAAUUCUCUUGGGAAAAAGAAGAGGAAAAGUGGACAUUGGGAAGAAAGCAACGUAUGUGCUAGAAAUGAGAAUUAUUUGUCUGCUUAUGAUUUUAUAACUGUAUCUACAAUGAGUUAAGACUUGGUGGAACAGAUCGACUUUUAGAAAAGUGAAAUAUUAUUUUAAAAUCAAAUCAAAUGGUAACCAGAGAUAUUUAGUGAAAAACUAGCUUUGACAUGAACCUAAAAAUGGAGACAAAGUUUGGUGUUGCUUUCAUGUGAAUAUUACAGCACUUGAAUGAUUCAACCUAGAGUUCAUAGUGCAUUACAAGGAAAUGUACAAAGAAAGGGGCUGUUGAGAGGAAAGUGACACAGGUGACUGUGACUUCUUAUGAAAGCCAGAUACCCUUCAAAUGUCUAAAGGCAAAUAUAUUAAGUGACAGAAAUGUCCCAAGAACAAAUAUUUUCUUCUUGGAGCAUAUUAGAAAGAUCUUAAGAUCUAGACCACUCUCUGGGGAUAAGCAGCCAUGGAUAUAUUAGGCAAAUUUGUUUGUACUUUGCUUCUUUCUUACAGCUCUGGAAAAACUUCUCCCUAUAUAGGGACCUCAAAUUACCAUCUCUUCAAUUAACAUAGGAAUAUAGAUUAAAUAUUCUUCUGGAUCCACUAAUAAGCCCUGCUCAUUUCACAGAGUUUAACUUUGCAGGAAGACAUCACUACUCCUUUGAUGUGGUCCCUGACUCACCUCCCCAGCUCCAAGCUUGAUUUGACAUUCCUUCUCUGUGCUCCCCUAGGACUCAGUGCCUACUUCCAACAACAAACUUACCACACUGGAUUGCAAUCUUCAAUUAUUGUUUGUCUUUUCCCCUAAAUUCCAAGGAUCUUGACAAAGGAGCUAGGUUCUAUUUAUUUUUGUAUCCACAGGGUCCCAGUACUUAAGGAAUACCUUUCAGAAGGAUGGAUGAAUAUGAAGAAACUAAGGAGCAAAGGAAUCAAGGAUUUCUUCCAGUCCACCUGGGAAGUUAGCUGCAUAGUUAGAAAUAGAACUCUAGACUCCUGGCCUGUUUUCCAAACCACAGAUAUGCUUGGUUUAUGCAGGAUGCUGCCUUCAGACUGAAAAGAAAAGGAUGGAUGCUUAGGAUACAAUCCAAAGAAGAAUGAGGGCUAAGGGAAGUGUGAAGCCCAGCCAUGGAGUCUUUGCUCUGGGUGCUUAGGUCUCUUUACCUGCCCCCUCCCUGCCCCCAUCCCAAGCAUGACAAGAAAGUCUUCCUAUCCUGGACUGGGUGGGCAUUGCUCAGCCUCCAGAAACUUGGGUUCUGGCUCUUCUGAGAGUGGUUGGGAUGCUGCUGCAUAGAAGGAAACAAGAAAGUGAAGCAAACCCAAGAGCCUCAGCCAUGGGCAUUGGUAAAUAAGAAGGAGGCUGGAAAUCCUACAAGCUGCAGAUCAUAGAUCCUGAUGCCCACUUGCCUCAUAAUACAGAUUCAGGUUUUGUCUGCUGCCCGUUCGAUGCUGAAGUCACUUCCUGCUGCUGUUGGCACAUCUGCCUGCCCCCUGCAGCUGAGCUUUUUCUGGUUGGUGAUUACUCUGUACACUGGUUUGCUGCUAUUUGGAGAAUCAGAUAAGCAGCUUGUUUACAUUUGUUAUGAAGAAUCUGUAACAUAAGAGAGGGAGCUGCAACCUCUGACCCUGAUGGGACUGUAUAACCCACCUUCUCCACAGACUUUGUAGGCUAGAGCUGUGCUUGGGAGCUUGGUUGUUGCUGGAAAUAUGGUGUCUAGAUGAGGAGUUUUUAAUAUACUGUUAUGGGCUGAAUUGUGUCCCCCUCAAAAUUCACAUGUUGAACCCCCUAUCCCCAGUAUCUCAGAAUAUGAUUGUAUUUGGAGAUAGGGUCUUUAAAGAGGUAGUUAAGUUAAAAUGAGUCAUUAGUGUAGGUCCUAAUCUGAUAGGACUGGUGUCCUUAUGAAAAGAGAUUAGGACACAGACUGGCACAGAGGGAAGACCCUGUGAAGACACAGAAAGAAGAUGGCGGUCUACAAGCCAAGGAGAAAG